UAGCAUAUAUGGUUGGUGUAGGAAAACAAAUAGCAAAAUAGCAAAAAUAUAGGUAUUAGCUAUAGGCAGCAUGGUUUCAUCACAUAAUCCAGAGUGUUGGGGGCAUGGUUUAUAGCCAUAUAUUGGUGGGGAAUGGAAAUGAGAAAUAGCAUAUAAUAGUAAUAACAAGAUCUACAUUGCAAGAUUACAUACAGAAGAGAAUUGUUCAUACUAUUGCAAAGGUUGAAAACUAUGGUAUAAAAUCCAAGGAAGC
rnacentral:lncRNA from 1 species